rnacentral:sRNA from 1 species
GCUUUCAACAUCCCCGUUCUGGCCAGUCCAGAACUGAAAGC